rnacentral:rRNA from 1 species
UACGGGGGGGGUAAGCGUUGUUCGGAAUUACUGGGCGUAAAGGGCUCGUAGGCGGCCAACUAAGUCAUACGUGAAAUCCCUCAGCUUAACUGGGGAACUGCGUGUGAUACUGGAUGGCUUGGAUUUGGGAGAGGGAUGCGGAAUUCCAGGCGUAGCGGUGAAAUGCGUAGAUAUCUGGAGGAACACCGGUGGCGAAGGCGGCAUCCUGGACCAAUAUUGACGCUGAGGAGCGAAAGCUAGGGGAGCAAACGGG